rnacentral:rRNA from 1 species
AUUGAACGCUGGCGGCAGGCCUAACACAUGCAAGUCGAGCGAGCGGCGGACGGGUGAGUAAUGUCUGGGAACCUGCCUGAUGGAUGGGGAUAACUACUGGAAACGGUAGCUAAUACCGCAUACCAUCAGAUGUGCCCAGAUGGGGUUAGCUAGUAGGUGGGGUAACGGCUCACCUAGGCGACGAUCCUUAGCUGGUCUGAGAGGAUGAACAGCCACACUGGGACUGAGACACGGUCCAGACUCCUACGGGAGGCAGCAGUAGGGAAUAUUGCACAAUGGGCGCAAGCCUGAUGCAGCAAUGCCGCGUGUGUGAAGAAGGUCUUCGGGUUGUAAAGCUCUUUCGUCGGGGAAGCGUUACCCGCAGAAGAAGCACCGGCUAACUCCGUGCCAGCAGCCGCGGUAAUAC